AAGGGAGUUCACAGCUGUCCCUAAGGCAACUUACCCUAUUCCAGAUUGAGCUUGUGGAAUCCCCAGAUGUAGCCACUUCUCUUCCUACCACAGUCAGUAGGAGGCAGCUGGUGUUGGUAUGGGAAAGCAGGAAGGUCAGAUCCCCAGGACAAGGAGAGCCUCGGCAGGCACAAGGGGAUUAUCUGACCAGUUGCCCACCCAAGAUGGACUGGCCAUGAGCAGGACUUAAGGUUCCAUAUAGGGUGCCAUAUUUGUUAUGCCCAAAGAGGGGGGUCAUCUGCCAGCCGCAAGAUGUGCCAAUAAUCAAGAGGCAAGGUGUUGGCUUCCCUUAUGUCAACCUUGAGUGGUGCAAGUAACAUGGGGACAUCGGAGCAUCCAGUCAGGCAGACGCCCUUCUGAGCGACGGAGCAGGUGGCACAUCCGAGAAAUAGCCCUGGAUGCUGUGUCUCAUUUGGCCCUUGAAGCCUGUAGGAAAAGAAGGUUCCCUCAGUUCUCCUCACUCACCCUCAGGGGCCGCACGACCCCUCACCCCUGACCUCUCCUCCCAGAGACUUCUCUCAAGUUUUCUCCAUGUCCCACCCCUCAUGACUGAAGGCCCAAGUCCCUGGACACUGCCUGGAAGCCAUGCUGUUGUUGCUGGCCCUCCCACUCCUCUCAGGGGCUGCCUGCGGCACCCAUGAGACGCAGGGCCCAGGCGGCUCCUACUCCUACAUCAGGGGAGGAGCGGGGGAGACCCAGGCCAUCGGGUCUUCGUGGGGAUAAUGGGCCUCAUCAAGGGGUUCCCUGGCUAGUAAACGGCAGAAACCUGCUCAGGCUAGGAAGACCACCAGCGUCUCCCCCGGUUCGUCACCUGCAGCUCUGUCUCCCCCACUGCUCCUUUGCUCUGUCCUCCAGGGCUGUCUCCCCGACAGGCCCCAUCCUCACCUCGCCCACCAGCUUCUGCCUCCAGGGGCCUCUCCUUCUUCCCCAACGCCCAAGGUAUCUUGGGGUA
rnacentral:lncRNA from 1 species